UGAACAGUGGCCAACGACAAUUUCCACGUUAGCGUUUUUACUGUUAUUAUUUUGACCUUUAUUUACACCAUGGGACUCAAAAUAUGACUAUUUUAACUGCACAGCCUCGCAUACUUACCCCGGGUAGUGUUUAAUUCUCGUUGGAGACAUGACUUGUUUGACAGACGUUAUCUAGGUAACCCUAGCUAGGUGCUGGAUAACUAUGGUUUUUCACUCAAAUAGCCUCCAUCGUGGAGCUGCUAGCGAAUGCAGCCGUGGUAGAGAUCUGUAAACUCGUAGACGACAACUAUGCAGUGUUUCGGUUGGAAAUAACUCAAAGCCAGAAAGAAAACAGGUCAUUGCGGAGGAAACUACAGCACCUGGAACUGAAGGUGGCACGGGAGCGAGUCCUCGACAGUUGUCCCAGUAGUGUUGAAAGAGAUUUGCGUCAGUUCAAAUCUGUCAUCAGGACAAAAUGUGAUUCAUAGUUACCGAAUAUAUUUUAAGUAUUUUAAUUAAACUCAAACGAUAAAUGCAAUUUUCGUAUAUACGGGUUCACUGGAUCUCCGCGCAGGGUAGAUCAGAGAACUGUGGAAUGUACUCAAAAUAGUAGUUUUAUACUAUGACAAUUUUAUUCUCAACUUGUCCAUUUGGCCUAUCAUAGUAGAGGUUUAGCAUGGGUAAUACUCUUGCUCCUCCUUUGUGGGCCCCCGAACUUGUCCAAGCCCCUUGGCGUUUUCCUUCUCCACAUCUGGUUGUUGGGUAGAGCAGCUCCAUCCGGUGUCCCCCUCGAUUAUUCACUGAAACAGUUCCUAAUAUGGUAUUGUCCAGUAUUCUAAACUCCUGGUUGGUCUAGAGAGAUGCACCCCUCCCCUCUCCAGACUGUCCACAGCUUUUAUGGCCUGUGGUGGUCAGUCCUUACCCACCUACACACACACACCCCCCUCUAUAUUGUGUGUGUGUGUGCAACAAAACAUCAUUCACCUUUAACCAAUAUGCUAACAGCCUAUAGUGCAUAAACAUAAAUCCCAACAAUGUCAAGAUCCUCGACCGAUACAGAGGAAUGGCAAGAGGUGAAGUAAAUCUCACUGGAGGACACAGGAGCUUUGUGAAGCCAGCGGGACACAUUACAUGGAGAGAUUACCAACCAAUCACUGUUGAUGAGGGGAGUGGAACCUCAACCCAGCACAUUAUCGGGAUAGAGAUGCAGAGGCUGCAGGUCCUGGAGUCAAGCAAGAGAAGACUGGAGGAGAGGUAGAACCACGGCAAAGCAGAGACAUCCAGACUGGUGUGGCUGGAGCACCCCCUGUAGCCACGGAGGACCCCACCAUCGCCCCAACGCUGCCCAGGACCCGAUGCAGCAUCACAGAGGUCAAUGGAAUGUCAAAAGCCACCCCAAAGUCAGAGACUUUAACUGGCUCUUACACAAAGAAUCUGAACACAAAUCAGACCCAGAGAGACUGGGGCCACUUUGCUGUCCUCCUGCUCCCGGCUCAGAGUACUUACCGGUAUUUCAUCAGAGCCAGAGGACGGUUCAUUUCCAUAGUGAUCGUGACGUGUUAGUCACUGGGGUUGAUGAUCUGUCUUAUUCUUACACUACAGAGAUGGACCCUGGCAACAUAUCCUUGGGUUUAGAGACACAGACUGAUCUGUCCAGAGGGGACUGGAACCAGUACAGUAGUAGUGUAUACUCUGAAGGGUGCCAAGAUAAGAAAGGAGAGGUUAUAGUGGUAGAUGAGGUGAAAGUGGAGAGCCAUGCUCCUCCCACAUGGAAUGCAGAUAAUCACCUAGGAGACUGACACUUUUUUUUUUUUUUUUUUUUUUUUAUCCCAUUUUCUCCCCAAUUUUUCGUGGUAUCCAAUCGCUAUUAAUUACUACCUUGUCUCAUCGCUACAACUCCCGUACGGGCUCGGGAGAGACGAAGGUCGAAAGCCAUGCGUCCUCCGAAGCACAACCCAACCAGCCGUACUGCUUCUUAACACAGCGCGCCUCCAACCCGGAAGCCAGCCGCACCAAUGUGUCGGAGGAAACACCGUGUACCUGGCCCCCCUUGGUUGGCGCGCACUGCGCCCGGCCCGCCACAGGAGUCGCUGGAGCGCGAUGAGACAAGGAUAUCCCUACCGGCCAAACCCUCCCUACCCCGGACGACGCUAUGCCAAUUGUGCGUCGCCCCACGGACCUCCCGGUCGCGGCCGGCUGCGACAGAGCCUAGGCGCGAACCCAGAGACUCUGGUGGCGCAGUUAGCACUGCGAUGCAGUGCCCUAGACCACUGCGCCACCCGGGAGGCUGAGACUGACACUUACAGGGCAGAGAUUUCUUAGAUUACAGGGCAAGCUCAGAGACAAAUAAACAUUUCAUCACCCACUCCCCUUUACAUGAGGGAACCGCCCCCGAUCCCAGGGAUCGCAACCCAGGAUCUAAGUCGAUGGGGCCUCUCGAUUCACAUGGCCACGUCCUUUUCGAUCAGGUAUUGAACUCAACCGAUAGAGCUAAAGCCCAGGUACCUAGCCUUUAACACUGCACACAAUCCCAACAACACCCAAAACAAUGGCUAGAGGUCAAGGAAGGAGCUCAAAGACUAACCACCUGAAGGUGGUGGCAGCUGCUUCUACCAUCUAUGGAGUCAUUGGGUCACAACGUGGGUGGCUGAGUGUUCAGACAGAAGCUGCCAAGCUGUACGCCUGCCCCACUUAUAGGAAGCGCUUCGCUGAGGCGAACUAUGUGAAGAUGCACCAGACCGUUCACACCACGGAGACCCUUCCAGUGCAAACUUUGUUACAAGAGCUUUUACUUCCUGACUAAUCUUAUUAGACAUAGGCGUGUCCACAAUGGGGAGAAAUUAUAGCAGUGUGGCUUGAGAUGUACACAGGAGAUAUCUGGGCAACAUUCUUUAUCUGGCAUAUUAAAGUUAUCAUGUGAAGUCUUAGGCAGGGAAUAACAUUAAUACCUGCCAAAUGUGGGUAGAUUUAGGUAUUGGCUGGUAAGAAUGUCUAUUUCACUAGCCACGUGGGUGGGUGGUCAAUUUGCAGGGCUCUACAGUGUGAGCAUUACAUUCGCAUUUGCAAAUAGAAAUAAGAGUAACAAGUCAAGUAUGAGCACAUGUGAAAGUUGUGAUUUAUAACAGAGAAAUGCUGCAGUAGCUGUUUUCAAAGUACUUCUGCCGUUUUGUUUCAUAGCUGCUAAUUGCAAAAAUAAAUAGGAAUCUAUAUCCCACCUCGUGAUGCAACACUGCCUGGAGUUGGAGCUUUGUGCACUGUUCUGAUAGAUUCAUUUUUGGAGGCGCUGCGCACAGGCAUAACAGUUGGUCUAAUUUACUCUAAAGUCUACAAAGUGAGACUUUGUCCUCGUGUUUUGCUCACAAUGUGGGUUGUUUUUCAAUGUUAGUUUGAGUCUGCUGCUUUAAAUGACAGCGAAGAGAUGCUGUCAACUACUAGUCAGAUCCAAAAUCAGACACACUUGACACCACUCGAGUGGCCCUGUAAACACGGUAACCGCCCACCGUUAACGUGCCAGCUAAACAUUUUGGUUAAUAAGACUCGGGUCACGAAAAAUUAUGAAAUUGAGCAAUAUAUACCCACUAAUACAUUUUUUGUUUUAGAAUCAUUAAGCACGGUCAUCGGUUAUUUUGUGUUUGUUGACGUAAUUAUGGCGAAAAAAUAUUUUGUCUGAUAAUAAUCUGAGUGGCUGGUAGAUUUUUCCAUCUACCUGCCACAAUGCCUGGUGGACCAAAAAGUUAAGCCCUGGUCUUGGGGUAAGAAGGUAAUUGACCACAUACCCUUUGUUAACUUCUCAUUUAAAAACAGGCUUAUGUAAAUAACUGUUUUUAGAGACAGUAAAUCAAGGCUAGAACAAAGACAGUUGAAUAUUUACCUUACUGAGGUGAUGUAGAUGGAAUAAAGUCAUUAUUAUUUUUUGCUCUCAGCUUGAAAGAUACUGAUUAUAGAAGACUUGAUGUAAUAAGUAGUACUGUAUUUCAAAGAAUAGUGUGCAUACCUUUUUCCUUUAACCUCUGAACUGUGACACCAAACAAUAAGAUACUUUCUCUUCAGUGUAAUUGGAAGUGGGAGUGGAUAGGCGAGAUGGUGGAAGCGGAUGUGGAACUUGAAUCGGAUGGCGGUGGAAAAAAGGAUGAGUGGAAUAUGUUCCGGGAUUCCUCCGAUGGCAUUGAGGAGUACACCACCUCAGUCAUUGGCUUCAUCAAUAAGUGCAUCGAUGACAUCGUCCCCACAGUGACCGUACGUAAACAUUGUUUUCAUGUUUGAUUGUGGUUUUAGUCCGAUAUUCAGGGUGGGUGUGUUGUUUAAUGUCGUUUCCUUCCUAAAGAGACACAUAGGUCACUUCAGUGUUCAAACAUUACCUGACUAUUUACAUAUUAGAGAUUACCAUUUGGUCAUAUAUUUGAAACCCAACCCAUGCUUAAUCCACUAAAAUAUGUUAAAUUCAACGUAAAAGGUCUUAACAGCCCGGUUAAUAGGAAUAGAGUCUGUACAUACCUUAAGAAAUUAAAGGUUUUACAAGAAACCUCUUAGUCAGUGAACACAAUAAAUGAAAGAGGGAAUGGGUAGGACAAGUUUUUGCAUCGUCUUUUAACUCCCAAGCAAGAGGAACUGCAAUUUUGAUAAGUAAACACAUCCCCUUCUGUGUUAGCAAAACCAUGUCUGAUCCCUCAGGCAGGUUUGUUUUGGUGCAGGGCCAUAUGUAUUCGGAGUCUUGGACCCUAUUGAAUAUUUAUGCUAUUUAUAAAUGGAGCACAUAGAUGGAGACUAAACUCUACACUCCUGAACACUCCUUUGUGCGUUCAUCAAAGAGCAGAUCAAUAUUUUUACUUAGACAAACACCCUCCGCUCCUGACAGUUUCAUUCUUUGGUACGCAUUGAAAGCCUCUGAGGGACAGAUCAUUGCCUAUACUAAAGGGUUGAAGAGAAAACACAGUGCCGAACUGAAUGUCCUUUUAUCUGAAAUGUCAAAGCUAGAGAAGACCUACCACAGAGGGCCGACUAAAGACCUAUACAGGCUUUGGGUAAAUAAAAAACUGAAAUAUAAUACUCUGAACACGUAUCAAGCUGAGGGCCAUCGCUAUAUCAAAACAGCGUUACUACGAGCUUGGAGAGAAAGCACACCAAGUGUUGGCAUGGCAACUGAAAGCAGAGGAAAGUAAGAGGACAAUUAAUGCUAUAUAAACUCUUACUAACGAGAUAUCUUUCGACCCUACGGAAUGAUACUUAAAACCUGUUGAGGAUAGAGGGCGCUAUUUUCACGUUGGGGGAAAAUCGUGCCCAAUUUAAACGGCCUCGUACUCUAUUCUUGCUCGUACAAUAUGCAUAUUAUUAUUACUAUUGGAUAGAAAACACUCAAGUUUCUAAAACCGUUUGAAUUCUAUCUGUGAGUAUAACAGAACUCAUUUUGCAGCAAACUUCCUGUCAGAAAGUGAAAAAUCUGAAAUCCAGGCUCUGUUCCAGGGCCUCCCUAAUCGUUUGCUUGAAUUCUAUUAGUAUACAUGCACUUCAUACGCCUUCCACUAGAUGUCAAUAGGCUGUGAGAGGUGAAAUGGGGUCUCUAGCUCUUUCUAUGGUGAAAAGAGACAGCUUGGAAUGACAUAACCCCAGAAUUCCUUUGUUCAGGAAGCACAUAAAGGUCACCAGUGUUGGCUUCUGAAAAGUAUUCGUUAUAGACGUGUUAUAUCUCUGGCUUUGAUUUUAUUUGAUAAAUGUAAUAAUAUCAUCGUGAAGUAUGUUUUUUCAAUAUAGUUUUAUUCGAUUAUUGAAAUUUUUUCAGGAUUUUAGGCGUGUUGCGUUCUUUGCGUUUGGUGACGAAGGAGAGCUUAGCGCCACUUAGCUAGUUUUGCUUGCUCAUUCGAGAGGGGAAAAUGCCAUUCUAAAACCAAACAACGAUUGUUCUGGACAAAGGACCCCUUGUACAACAUUCUGAUGGAAGAUCAUCAAAAAGUAGGACCCAUUUAUGAUGGUAUUUCAUAUAUCUGUCGAACAUGUUUACUUUUAGUUAGCGCCCAGAUUUUGGGGGCUCUCUCGCAAUAACGUAAGCUGCAUAUCGUAAUGAAGUUCUUUUUAGAAUUCUAACACGGCGAUUGCAUUAAGAACUAGUGUAUCUAUCAUUUCCUAUACAACAUGUAUUUUUUAGUAAAGAUUAUGAAUAGUUAUUUGGUCAGAAUAGGUGAGUGUCAGAAAAAUAUCCGAACAUUCUGGGAAAAAGAUGCUUAGUUUUCAGAAUGUGUAACCAGGGAUUUCAGCUCUAAAUAUGCACAUUUUCUAACAAACCAUAUACCGUAAUUGCUGGACUAUUAAGCACACCUGAAUAUAAGCCGUACCCACUGAAUUUUUUACAAAUAUGUAUUUUGUACAUAAAUAAACCGCACAUGUCUAUAAGCCGCAAGUGCCUACCGGUACAUUGAAACAAAUGAACUUUAUACUGCCUUUAAACAAAACACGGCUUGUAACAAAAAUAAAUAGGCUUUAACGAAACACGGCUUGUAAAAAAAAUAAAAAAUAAAUAGCAGUAAACAGUAGCCUACCAAGAAAGUCAAACUUCAUUGCGGUGGCGAUUGUUUUGGCUUUCAGUCGGAUCUGCACAGUUCCAACGUCUUAUCAUCGACUCAUUAAGGCCAAGCUCCCGUGCAGCAGCUCUAUUUCCUUUUCCAACAGCCAGAUCGAUCGCCUUCAACUUGAAAGCUGCAUCAUAUGCAUUUCUCCGUGUCUCCGCCAUGAUGGUGACAAAAUGGCUACCGUAAUCAGAAUGAUGGCAAGUUUGAGCGCGCUCGAUUUACAUCACAUUAUGUGACGGUGCUCAGUUUUUUGGAGGCAUGAAUCUUGUGAGAAAAAAAAAACAUAAAUUAGCCGCGUCAUUGUAUAAACCGCGAGGUUCAUAGCGUGGGAAAAAAGUAGCGGCUUAUAGUCCGGAAAUUACGGUAUGUAUUGUGUAAUAUGAUGUUAUAGGACUGUCAUGUGAUGAAGGUUUAUGAAGGUUAGUGAAAAUUAAUAUCUUUUGCUGGUUUAUUCGCUAUCGCUAACGUGCCUUGAUGAAUGAAUGCGGUUGUGUGGUAGGCUAUUGUAGUAAGCUAAUAUAAUGCUAUAUUGUGUUUUCGCUGUAAAACACUUUUAAAAAAAUCGGAAAUAUUGGCUGGAUUCUGUGGGGUUUUUAUAAGGUUUUUUGACAUACUUAACUAACUAUAAGCUAGUAGGGCUUCUUAUGCAUUAAAGUUUGAAUUGUUGACUCUUGUGAACCUGCAUUUUCCAUUGGUCUCUACUCUUACCAGUGCUCUGUCUAACCAUGAAUAUCAGCCUGAAAUGUGUGUGUGUUAAAGAGAGCGCUGUACUGUAUGAAAUAUGCGUGUGUAUGCAACAAUGUAUCAGUAGUGUGGGCGCUGUACUAUGUGGCCGAGACUGUGCUAAUCUUAGAGAGACACAGGAGGGGGGUGAAUCAGGAGACUGCUGACCAGACAAUAACAGAAACUAUACACACGAAAAACAUAUGUGAGGUUCUGAGUUAUGCACUAUAACCCAAUACUAUAACAAACGUGAUUAGCAACUGUAUUAUAUGUGAUUGAAUACUAUAACAAACGUGAUUGGAUAUUGAUAACCUGUUGGCCUGGGCGCCUGGAUGUCUGUGUGUGUGUGCUGGAAGUAACAGUUAGCUCAGAUAAGAAGCUGGGAAGCUGUGGUUAGCCUUGAGCGAACAGUGGCCAUUGUAUACAGGUGCAGAUAUCUCAGACAAUGUUAUAAAACUGUCUGACCCCAGUCUUUGGGGUGAAGGAGCGUAAUCUACACAGCAACAGCGUCGGGACAUCACAUGCGCUAAGGGGCCAGGACUGGCUUAAGGCGCCAACAUCAACGAUAGACUGGGUGAGUCUAAACCACGCCCAGUCUCUACUCUGACAGGCCGGCUCGGAAGCGGGAACUAUCUCUGUCACGAGUAUAAAAUACUAUCUUUGUCAGAAACAAAUCAGUUCCUUGUCCCACCCUGCGGGGUGGUGCAGUGAGCCCGUAUAUACGAAAAAUGUAUUUGCCAUUUAUUAACUUUUGAAUUAAACAAUUAUUUUAACCAAGUUCAGGUGUGGUAUUGUUCCUAUCUCAGUUGAACUUUCGCAACCCUAACAAUUCACAAGAUGUUUGUUUUUAAUUUGCUGUACACCAUGUAUUUUUCAGAAAUGUUUUAUGAUUAGUAUUUAGGUAAUUCACGUUGGUCUCUGUAGUUAUUCUAGUCGCUUUGGUGAGAGUUGUGAUGGUGGCUGCAAUGUAAAACUAUGAUUUAUACCUGAAAUAUGCACAUUUUUCUAACAAAAGAUAUGCUAUACAAUAAAUAUGUUAUCAGACUGUCAUCUGAUGAAGUUGUUUCUUGGUUAGUGACUAUUUAUAUCUUUAUUUGGUCGAAAUUGUGAUAGCUACCUAUGCAGGAAAAAAAAUGGUGGAGAAAAAAAAGUUGUGUCUUUUGCUAUCGUGGUUAGCUAAUAGAAAUACAUAGUGUCUUCCCUGUAAAACAUUUUAAAAAUCAGAAAUGAUGGCUGGAUUCACAAGAUAUCUUGUG